rnacentral:rRNA from 1 species
CAGUAGCCGCGGGAAUACAGAGGGUGCGAGCGUUAAUCGGAUUUACUGGGUGUAAAGCGUGCGUAGGCGGCUUCUUAAGUCGGAUGUGAAAUCCCUGAGCUUAACUUAGGAAUUGCAUUCGAUACUGGGAAGCUAGAGUAUGGGAGAGGAUGGUAGAAUUCCAGGUGUAGCGGUGAAAUGCGUAGAGAUCUGGAGGAAUACCGAUGGCGAAGGCAGCCAUCUGGCCUAAUACUGACGCUGAGGUACGAAAGCAUGGGGAGCAAACAGGAUUAGAUACCCCCGUAGUCCCUGUCUCUUAUAC